CCUACGGGAGGCAGCAGUGGGGAAUAUUGCACAAUGGGGGAAACCCUGAUGCAGCGACGCCGCGUGAGUGAAGAAGUAUCUCGGUACGUAAAGCUCUAUCAGCAGGGAAGAAAAUGACGGUACCUGACUAAGAAGCCCCGGCUAACUACGUGCCAGCAGCCGCGGUAAUACGUAGGGGGCAAGCGUUAUCCGGAGUUACUGGGUGUAAAGGGAGCUGAGACGGCAGCACAAGUCUGGAGUGAAAUCCCGGGGCUUAACCCCGGAACUGCGUUGGAAACUGUGCGGCUGGAGUGCAGGAGGGGAAAGCGGAACUCCUAGUGUAGCGGGGAAAUGCGUAGAUAUUAGGAGGAACACCAGUGGCGAAGGCGGCUUACUGGACUGUAACUGACGUUGGGGCUCGAAAGCGUGGGGAGCAAACAGGAUUAGAUACCCUUGUAGUC
rnacentral:rRNA from 1 species